rnacentral:ncRNA from 1 species
GCAGAGUAGGUGGACAGGCGUUAAGUGUCCGGCAGACGGGGAGUUGCUGCCGGAACGAAAAGCGUUCGCGCUUGCGGUCUGACCAUCGCAUCCCGCUGU